GUCUACCUGGAACAAACACUGUCACCCUGACCUUCCCCUGUCUGUCUGUGUCUCUGCAGCACUGGUUACCAUGGCAGAAGACCUGAUUCAGGAGGAUUUAACAUUGACCAGGAGAGUUGGUCAAAGUGUCUCUUUCAGCUGUGAACUAACUAAGCCAUUUAAAGAUGAUUAUGUGUUCUGGUACCAGAAGAAAAAUAAAGAAGAAUUCAGAAUAAUUCUCGAUAUAAAGAAAAGUAGUGGUGCAACUGAUAAACGUUAUGGUCAUCCACAGAGAGAUGAUUUCUCAGCUGUUAAAACCCAAAAAGGAUAUGAAUUGAAGAUUGGUAAAAUUACAAUAGAUCAUUCAGCCUCUUACUACUGUAGCUGCUAUAAAGACAAUCUCCACAGUCGGGGGCUCUGGGUACUACAUAUUUGGAUCUGGAACUCGACUGGUUGUAACAGAUGAGUCCGUAGUGAAGCCCGUGGUGAGCGUGUACCCAGCAGCAUCCAGAGUCCCUGUGGAGAGGGGCAGCUCCCUGCUGUGUCUGGCCUCAGAAAUGUUUCCUCCUGUGGUCCAGUUCUCCUGGAAAAGACAGAAGAACAACGGACCGCUGGAGGACAUGAUCUCUGAUGGCGAGGAGCUGCAUCUCAGAGAGUCUGGACACAGCGCCUCCAUCCUGUUGGCCCAUCGGCAAAAAGACAGCUCCUAUAAAUACAGCUGCUCUGUCAAGCACGAGGGGGCCACUGUGGAGGCCCAAACACAACAAGAGUUGCCGACACUUCCACCUGUAGUUUCCACAGCAGCUCCAACUUCCCAUUCAACAUCUUCCAGCAUUCUGACUACAGUAACACCCAUUGUUCCCUCCCUGGACCUGGUGUUUCUGUCCUUCCAGUCUGAGUCCAGGGUGAAGCUGCUCUGCCUGCUGUACACAGUGCUGAUAGUGAAGAGUCUGGUGUACUGCUGUGGACUCUCUCUGCUGAUGAUCCUCAGAAACAAGGGAGCAUCCACCAACUCCAAACAUGCUGACUGACUGUUUUCUGAUCAUCUUUUCUCUCCACCAAAUCUCAUCCUUUCAUCUCAUUCAUCACUUUAAUCACAGCUCUCAAAUACUUUUGAUGACUUGAUAUAGAUUCGUCAUCAAACUGACUUGUGGAAGUGUAACAUUGCUUUAUUCUGCUUUAACAUUUUGAAUAUUAUCAACUUUUCACAUUUAUUUGCAACAAUAUUCUAAAAUAAAC
rnacentral:lncRNA from 1 species